UACGUAGGGUGCAAGCGUUGUCCGGAAUUAUUGGGCGUAAAGAGCUUGUAGGCGGUUUGUCGCGUCUGCUGUGAAAUUUCGGGGCUCAACCCCGAACUUGCAGUGGGUACGGGCAGACUAGAGUGUGGUAGGGGGAGACUGGAAUUCCUGGUGUAGCGGUGAAAUGCGCAGAUAUCAGGAGGAACACCGGUGGCGAAGGCGGGGUCUCUGGGCAACUACUGACGCUGAGGAGCGAAAGCGUGGGGAGCGAACAGG
rnacentral:rRNA from 1 species